GAUGAACGCUGGCGGCGUGCUUAACACAUGCAAGUCGAACGAUGAAGCUCAGCUUGCUGGGUGGAUUAGUGGCGAACGGGUGAGUAACACGUGAGUAACCUGCCCUUAACUCUGGGAUAAGCCUGGGAAACUAGGUCUAAUACCGGAUAGGAGCGCCUACCGCAUGGUGGGUGUUGGAAAGAUUUAUCGGUUUUGGAUGGACUCGCGGCCUAUCAGCUUGUUGGUGAGGUAAUGGCUCACCAAGGCGACGACGGGUAGCCGGCCUGAGAGGGUGACCGGCCACACUGGGACUGAGACACGGCCCAGACUCCUACGGGAGGCAGCAGUGGGGAAUAUUGCACAAUGGGCGAAAGCCUGAUGCAGCGACGCCGCGUGAGGGAUGACGGCCUUCGGGUUGUAAACCUCUUUCAGUAGGGAAGAAGCGAAAAUGACGGUACCUGCAGAAGAAGCACCGGCUAACUACGUG
rnacentral:rRNA from 1 species